UUACGGUCACAUCACGUUGAAAUACCGGUUCCCGUAGGAUCAACAAUGUUAAUCAAAGUCGAGCCUGGUUAGUACCUAGAUGGGUUAUCCUUUGGGAAAACCACGUGUUGUAAG